GGCUGGUCUGAAGGUAGUGAGUUAUCUCGAUUGAUCACAACCAGUUGCAGAUUUCUUUGUUCCUUCUCCACUCCCACUACUUCACUUGAACAGCCAUCC
rnacentral:Y_RNA from 1 species